rnacentral:rRNA from 1 species
AUACGGAGGAUCCGAGCGUUAUCCGGAUUUAUUGGGUUUAAAGGGAGCGUAGGCGGACGCUUAAGUCAGUUGUGAAAGUUUGCGGCUCAACCGUAAAAUUGCAGUUGAUACUGGGUGUCUUGAGUACAGUAGAGGCAGGCGGAAUUCGGGGUGUAGCGGUGAAAUGCUUAGAUAUCACGAAGAACUCCGAUUGCGAAGGCAGCCUACUAAACUGCCACUGACAUUGAUGCUCGAAAGUGUGGGUAUCAAACAGGAUUAGAUACCCUGGUAGUCCACACAGUAAACGAUGAAUACUCGCUGUUUGCGAUAUACUGCAAGCGGCCAAGCGAAAGCGUUAAGUAUUCCACCUGGGGAGUACGCCGGCAACGGUGAAACUUAAAGGAAUUGACGGGG